rnacentral:tRNA from 1 species
AGCCCGGUGGUGUAGCGGCAAGCAUAGCGCGGUGCCCCGCGCGCUGAAGCGGGGCUUUGGCCCCCGAGGCCGGGGUUCGAAUCCCCGCCGGGCUACCA